rnacentral:rRNA from 1 species
AUUGAACGCUGGCGGGAGGCUUAACAAAUGCAAGUCGAGAGGAGCGGCGGACGGAUGAGUAAGGCCUAGGAAUUUGCCUGGUAGUGCAGGAUAAUGUCAGGAACUGCGCGCUAAUACCGCAUAAUAUCAGAUUCGCCUCGGUCGUAUUGGCUAGUUGGUGGGGUAAAGGCCUAAAAAGGCGACGAUCCGUAACUGGUCUGAGAGGAUGAUCAGUCACACUGGAAAUGAGACACGGUCCAGACUCCUACGGGAGGCAGCAGGGGGGAAUAUUGGACAAUGGGCGAAAGCCUGAUCCAGCCAUGCCGCGUGUGUGAAGAAGGUCUUCGGAUUGUAAAGCACUUUAAGUUGGGAGGCGUUACCAACAGAAUAAGCACCGGCUAACUUCGUGCCAGCAGCCGCGGUAAUUC